GUAAAUGCAUGGAUGGAAGAGAAGGGAUGGUGCUAUCUGGGGGUGCUGCAUAUUAUCUCAACAGAGGGAUUAGUGGGUCUGGUUCUGGUGUUGGUGGUGGGUCUGGGGCACCUACAAGGGUAACUACCCCACCUAGUUAUAAGUCCCUCUCAAACCCCAACAUUUCAGUUCAGUCCAAUGUAGGGGGAGGAGGUACUUUGAGUUCUACAUACCAAGCUGUUGAGAACCCAUCGCCUCAUUUUUCUCAUGGUAUUAAUAUGAGUGUGG
rnacentral:misc_RNA from 1 species